GUUGUGUGUGGCGGGCUGGCGGCUCGGCCCUCGCCUAGAUCAGAUGUGACGCUCAGAUGCCGACGGUUCGCGUGAGGUAGCAGGGGUGCGGCGGGUGAGAAGCCUGGCUUCCCACAUCCAGGCCAUCAGAUUUGAUGGAUGUGUUUUUUAGCUCUUGAUUUUAAUGGUGUAGGAUUUUUGUGUGUAUUUCUCUGGGUACAUAGUGGUUAAAAACUCUCAGCGGGGGACGAUUUGGUGGGUGGACCAAGUAUCAUUUAAGUCUUCCAUUAUAGUAGAGAUAAAAAUAUUUAUUAAAAAGUGGUGCAUAUAUAUCUUUAUGAAAGUAUUUU
rnacentral:lncRNA from 1 species